rnacentral:lncRNA from 1 species
GAAAUCGAGAACAUCAUGGUUUUCGCGGGUUUGAAUCCAAAGGCCGAAUCGGCGACCACUUCAGCCAGUUAUGAGGAGGCGAGUAAGGGGUAUGCUGCACAUCCCUACGGCAAUGAAGACUUCUCACAGUAUAGUGGGGGCUUCCCACCUUCGAGGAUCGAACCCCAGUAGGCAAAUUACAGUCAUGAUCAGCUUCAGUGUACAUUAAGAAAAUCAAACUAGCAUAUGUAGUCAUGACCAACUCUUUCCAGAUGUUCAGGUCUUGUGAUGUUUGUAUCAUAUUGAGAAUUUAAUCAUGUAAAAUUGCUGGCCUCUAUGUGUAAGUAGAAUUCUGAAGGAAGUAAUCAUUCGUCUUCCACCUGUACAACCAGCGGAGAAGACAGUGUAUGGACUCGUUUUUUGAGUGAUUGGGAGGAUAUGAGGGCCACCACGAACACCUUGUAACUUCCUGGACUGCCGGUUCUGGCUUGCCUGCUUCUUCGCAUAGUCUUCACCGCUCGCCAUGUCUCGUGAAUCUUGCCAAUGAGCGAAGGCUGCUUGUGCUUCUGAAGUAGAGGAAGGAAGAAAAACGCAUAAAUGUUCUGCUGUGUUAACCUUUGAACCAAAUAAUAAGAUGACUAGAUGAGUAUGUCAGAAAUAAAAGAAGUUGGUUAUUUAAAGAAAAUCCAAUAAAUGUUAGUAAUGAACUCAGAGAGUUAAUAACGCUAGAUUAACUAGUCAUAGAAUUGUAUAAAAUGAUUAAUGAGUCAGGUAAAUAAAAAUGGUAAUUUAAAACGAAAAUAAAUAUUAAUAAGUACUAAAUAAAUGUGGUAACUUAAUCGGAGAAAAGAUAGUAAGUUAUAUUAAAAAAAUGGUUUUUCUAUAUAAUGGUUAGUAAACGUGAGGUGUCGCUAAUAUAGGUAAAUAAAUGUGGUUAACAAUGCAAGAUGCAUUUGUGUUGUUAGAUCUAAGAGCAGAUGGUAAAUUAAUAGCAAAAUAAUCCAAAUAAAUAUUGGUAAAUAACUCAAAUAAGUGUUGGUAAUGUAAAGCUAGUUGGAAUUAGAGAAAAUUCAAUCACUCAACUUGAUAAUUUUCAAAAUGAAUUGGUAAAAAAGUUUGUUAGUAGAGCAAAUAAAAGUGAUAACUCGAUAGAAAAAGUUGGUGAAUAUAAUAGCAACAAAUAAAUACUAAUAAGCAACUCUAUUGAUAACCGUUAGCUAGUUAACUAUCUAAGAAAAGUAAGUCACACAAAUAAAGAUUGAUAAAUCAUUUACAGUUGGCAAAUUUAAGCUGUUUGGUAGAAAGGCACAUAAAAAUUGGUGAAGGAUGAGAGAAGCUUUUUUUUUCUUUUUGUGGAUCAAAGAGUAGGCAAGUUGGUAUUUAAAAAAGAAAAGACCAAUUAAAUAUUAGUAAUUAACUCAUGCAGGAGCUGGUAAUGCAUUAUUAGUUGGUACGUGAAAAGUUGACAAUUACUUUAAUUGAGAUUUGUGAUUAUAAAAAGAGUUGGUAGUGAGAUAAAUAAAGGUGGUAAUUCAUAGAAAAGUUGAUAAAUAAUUAGAACAAAUAAAUGUUAGUAAUAUGCAAUUCAAAUGAGAAUUGGUAACAAAAAAAUUGUCAGUAACAAACUCUUUUUAUCAAGUCUUUUGAUACUUAUCAAAUCUCGAGGAAAUCCACUAGCACGAAAUAGAAUUUGUUUCUUUCAACAGAAUAGUAGAAUCGUCUAGGGCUCAAAAAAGCCCGCAAGUAACCAAAUUUAAUCUUAUCAAUAAACAUGAAUCCGAGCUGCAAUUACAUCUAAAUCAACUAUCUAUACCCUGACUCUUUCAUUCAAUAUGUUCUCAUUGACUUCAUAUUGACUUCAUAAUUAUUUAUUGUGAAGCUCUGCUCACCACAUUGCAUUGAACAUUGUUAUGCUUGGAGAUGAGGACUGCUCUAAAGUCUCCACUUAAAUAAAUUUAUUGCUCCUUAAACUUCACCAAACGAAGACAUCGUUUUAUUUUAUUAUGACUUGAUUGUACUUGGUGGGAGCAAAACUUAGCAACUUGGUCUCCCUCCUUCCCCGUCCAAACUGUACUACAAACCUAUCUUUGCAUGUCUCAAGCAAAUGUUUUUUCUGGCCCAAUUCAGUUGAAUGAUUCUUCGAAAACGACCAGACGGUCGUUGACUCUGCUACUAAUGUCAUGGACGCCACCAGUGUCUGCGCGUACAGGUUACUUCAUUCGUAAACUUGUCGUUUUCUACCUUUCUCCAUCAUCUUCGACCCAUUUUUCGGUGCUCAUCUUCUCUCUUCUUAAUCAUUCGGACUUUGUGACAUGGCAUUGACUGAGUAAACUCCCCCCAUUAAAAUAAAUGUAGCAAUUGGAGAAAAGAAAUGCAGACGAAUAUGGUUCUGGCGGGCUGAUGUUUACAUUUCUCGUCAAUUGGAUCAACGAGACUCCAAUUCAUAGUUGUCACGGCCAAGACUUUUCUUUUUCCCUGAUAAAAAAAAAAGAAAAGAUUGCUAGGAAAGAAAUAUAUGCUGGGAGUUCGCAGCCAGCCAUUCAUUUUGCCAUCAUGUCAACCGAGUUGAAGUGUCCCUUGAGGAAGAAUUCAAUGUGAUGCAACUGCCGAAGCUGAAAGAAGAGCAUUGAGUUCUCCAAGUUUUGAGAUUCUAAGUCAUGGAUGUGCGAGUUCUGGCAAUUCUGCUAGUUUUUCUCCUUGGAGAUUCCACUGGAGAUGCAGCUACAAAUCCUUAUGAUUGUAAGCUUAAUUUCUUGACAUUUAUUUCCCAAAAUGUGUUAUUCAUAUAGUUGAAUUUGCGAAUUCCACAAAUCCUCUCGCCUGGACUUUUUGCAUGUUUCUGAGCCACUGCCGCUUAGAUGAACUAAGGUUCCUCCUAGUCAGAGGAUGUCACAACAUUUAGAGGAAUCAGUUUGUCCACAACCAAUCACAAGAGCCCUAUUGCACUGAACUUUUUUGAGAUAUCGUUGUUCCCUAUAUUCCUAUCAACAAUGCUAAAAUCAAUUUUGGGCAGAUCUAAGUCUGUUUUCUCCCCCUUUUGCCUGCCUCUUUGAUUAAUGGUGCCUUUAUCGUCUGCUAUUUUGCCUUAAAAAUUUUCAGAAAAUAAGUAGCUGGAGAUAAAUUUUGCAAUGCAUCGACCAAGUAAAUCUAACUGAUUGUUGUCUUUAGAGUUGGUCAAAAUAAUGAAAUUUGUUAUACAUCUAUUGCUGGUAUGAUUUUUGUUUAAGCAUGUUCUGGCCUUGGAAGUCAUUAUCUUACUUACAGGUCAUUCUCACAAAUUUGGUUUUGGUACAACGACCAUGCUAGUUUCGUUUGAUAAGGGAAUCAGUUACGAAUAUUUUACAGGGUCUUAGCCCCUCUGGUACAAAGAUCCUGCUGUUGGUUGGCUAUUCAAGCAACCAAAGUUCUGGAUUGUGAUCCUUAGAUCCACACAGAACUGUUGGAUUACUGCUAUUCAAUACACACACAAGACAUAUGCAUUUAUUAUUUUCUCAUUGUUCAACUGGUCGUAUUCAAACGCAGUCAGUGCAAUUAUGGGGCUUAAAAGUGAUUGGCAAAAUACACCACCCAACUGGGUGGGGACUGAUCCUUGUGGCAAUGGCUGGGAUGGGAUUCACUGCACCAAUUCUCGCAUUACUUCCAUGUAAUUUUUUAGCAUCCUUUUGGACUUCAUAUUUGAUAAUCUGCAUUUCAUAAUUAUAUCCAUAUGUGCAGUUAAUUGGACUCUCUUAAUUUCAGAACGUUGUCGAGCAUGGGUUUGACAGGUUCGCUUUCGGGAGACAUUGGACAAUUGUCUAAAUUACAGAUUCUGUAAAUUCACUAUCUCUUUCACUUCCCAGAUUAUCUUCAAUGCAAGGACUUAAUUACCACAUUUGUUUCCCAUGUCUUUUUCUACCGAGAGAACAUAUAGGACACAAAUUUCUGUGAAAUUGGAUGUAUUGACCAUAACUGAAGGCAAUUAUUGAGAAGACGGGCUUAAGUUUUUAUUUUGCUGUUGUCAUGUAUGUAGUCCUCCCAUCUAGAUUCUUGUACUUUCCUCUCUCCCAUGCAUCCUAUAAUGCAUGUGAAGCUGUCGAUGAUGUGCAGGUAGGGGGAUUCAUGUCUAGAAUUUGGUCUUUUUUUAUCUGUUUUAGCUGCCUGAAAUGGUCCUCUGUAAGUUGUUACUGAGUAUAAUAAGCCUUUCGUGUAGGGACCUAUCUUACAACAAGGGUCUGACUGGAUCUCUUCCUGUACAAAUAGGAAACUUGAUGAAGCUCACGAACUUGUAAGCUUUAUAAAUCAGCAUUUCUAGUAUAUUCUGUGUCCCCUGACUUUCAAAGUUGAAAAUGACCAACCUGCCUUUUCAUCUCAAAAUGCAAGAAUCCUGGUGGGUUGUGGAUUUUCUGGUCAAAUACCAGAUUCCAUUGGAUCUCUACAUAACCUGGUGUUUCUGUAAGUUCUCUCCCCCAUAUACUUGAUUGGGACAUGACACGUACAUGACCAGUUUUUGGACAAGCUAGAACAUGUUUUGCUUGACUCAAUUCAACAAUGAAUUGUUUUAACCUCCUGUUGGAGUUCUUUCUUGAAUGUACUAUAAAAUAUUGUUGUCAGCUCAUGCUUUACUUAUUAAUCUGACAGUCACAUAUUUUCUCCCGACCUUCGCAAGCGUCUGAAUUCGUCCUUCCAAUAUAUUGCAGAUCUCUAAAUUCAAAUGAAUUCAGUGGGCUGAUUCCCCCUACCAUUGGUAACCUUUCUAGGCUCUACUGGCUGGAUCUAGCUGACAAUCAGCUAACUGGAUCUAUUCCGGUAUCAAAUGGAAGCAAUUUUGGCCUUGAUAUGCUACUUCACACGAAGCACUUGUAUGAGCAUGUCUUCCAGUUUAUCUCGCUGUAUCUGUGAACUUUCAUUUUUGUUGUGCUAUCUGACUAAUAUUAUGCUUCAUGACAGUCAUUUUGGACAGAACCAACUCUCUGGCACGAUUCCUUCCCAAUUAUUCAGUUCUGGGAUGAAUCUCAUUCAUGUGUAAGUUCUGAUAACCCACUAGGGCACUGCAGCUGGUCUAUUCAUUGUUUCCUAAAGGCUUCUCAAGCCUUAUAUAAAGAAAGUUAAAUCCUCUCUCUCUCUCUCUCUCUCUCUCUCUCUCUCUCUCUCUAACCUUCACAUCUUUGUUAUCCUCGCUUGAUACUUGAAGCAUCUCUCUUUAAGAGAGGCAGUGAAAAGCUGAGAAUGCAAUGGCCUGCUUAUCCUUUAUUUUAAGAUAGGAAUCCUUAUAAACUUUUCAACUACGCAGGCUUUUUGACAGCAAUCACCUCACAGGUAGCAUCCCUUCCACACUUGGACUGGUGCAAAGUUUGGAAGUUGUGUAAGUAUUUAUGGUUCUACACAAUCGUUGUGAGGAUUAAUUGUGCUCAUUGCACUUCCAGUCAAUGUUUAACCUAUUUCAAUGGUUACAGACGCUUUGAUAGGAACUCUUUAUAUGGUGCAGUGCCUGCAAAUCUCAGCAAUCUUACAUCCGUUCAAGAACUGUAAGCAAAACAUAAUUCUCGUUGUGUCAUUUCACUAUUUUCCGUGCAUAUCAUUAUAAUCAAUCUUUUAAAUUUACUGGUCUACUCUUUAGUCUUCUUUCCAACAAUAGGCUAACUGGUCCAUUGCCCAACCUUGCUGACAUGAACAAUCUCAACUACUUGUAAGUAAUAAUUGUCUUACAAUUAGCUAAUUUCACAUGGUGUAAUUGCGGAUCAUUUAUGAGUUCUCUGAGGGAGCAGAGAACAUGGUGAAAUGUAAAAGAUUAUCUUUGACUCCUUUUCUUAAUUUUGAAUUCGCCAUUGCUUAUUGUCCCACCAUGACUACGUAAAACAUGGACUUUGACUGACAAUGGUGGAUUUGCAGGGACUUAAGCAAUAAUAGUUUGACGCGACAGAUUUCCCUACAGCCCUUUUGAUUGUUGUGCAGGAGAGAUGACCUCAAUAUCUCACUCAUGGUGCAGUCGAGUUCUAUUGUAAGCCUUCUUCAAACCCCCCCCCCCCCCCCCCCACCUUGAAAUGGAACAUGACAUUUCAUUGUUUUCUGGUUGUGGGUUUCGGACUAGUCCCUUUGCUAAAGAAAAAAAUAGAAGAUCUCUACGUAAAUAAUAGGGUCAUACCUUUUAUCAAUUUCAGAAUAUUGGAACGCACACAAGUUCGAGGAGAGUUACCGGUCAUCCUUUUCAGCAUUUUCAGUUUGCAAAAAGUGUAAGUAUCAUCUCAAUCUCAAUAUUUACCUCAACGUAAUGGACAUAUACUUAUUCAAAACUCAGACCUGCUUCAUUCAAUUAACUUCCUGGUAAGUUCCAACUUGGGCAUUAGAAAUGAUGGCUGAACAUGUGAAUUUCCUGUGACGUCAGGGUCUUAAGAAACAACCAGCUGAAUGGAACCUUGGAUAUAGGCACCAGCCAUGGCAAUCAAUUGCAACUCAUUGAUCUCCAGACCAAUUUUAUCGAUAACUUCAAGCAGAGUACUGGAGUUUACAGUGUCAAGGUGAUGUAAGUCAUAUAAAACUCUUUGGCCCUUUCACUCACUUUGUCACAAGAUGAAUUGAGAAUGCUUUUUGUUUUUCACAGUUUUUUUGCUAAUGUUGUGCCCAUAUAUUGUAUGUCUGCAGACUUGUCGAUAACCUGGUUUGCGAAGAAACAGGAGCAGCUGGGCAAAGUUACUGUACCAUUCCACAAUCCAACACCUCCUCCUACUCGACACCACCUAAUAAUUGCAUCCCACCCCUUUGCAAUUCAAAUCAGGCCUCCAGCCCCAACUGUAAAUGUAGCUCUCCUUACACAGGAACUUUAGUCUUCAGAUCUCCUUCUUUCUCAGUUUUAGGAAACUCGACUUAUUUCGAAAGCCUCGCAAGCUCUAUGAUGAUCUCUUUUCAGUCCAAUCAACUUCCAGUAGAUUCUAUCUCACUGAGUGAUCCACGCAAGGAUUCAUUUGAUUACCUUCAAUUGAAUAUCGCGGUCUUCCCAUCUGAGGGGGUUAGUUUCAAUCGGAUGAGCAUAUACAGUAUUGGCUUUGUGCUCAGUAAUCAGACUUACAAGCCUCCAAAAUUAUUUGGGCCUUUCUAUUUCAUCGCGGAUCAGUACACAAAUUUUGCGGGUAAUAUCUCCAAUUAUUUUACAGCGACACGCAUUCCGUUGCCUUGUCUAUCUAGAUUGUCUUUAUUUCUUCAUCAUACUAACGACCAUCUUUCUCCCUCUUUCUCACAGAAGUACAAGUACCAAAAACAUCCAAAAAAUCGACAAACAUCGGAGUCAUCAUUGGUGCAGCAGCUGGUGGUUUUGUUCUCCUCAUGCUAUUGGCUCUUGUAGGGGUUUAUGCUUUUCGUCAAAAGAAAAGAGCAGAAAAGGCUACAGAGCAAAGAAACCCUUUUGGUAGGGCAGAUUCACUGCAUACUUGCCACUUAGCUUUUCUCUGAUUCUGGAAGUAACUCUCAGUCAAUAUUAGUUGUUAUUUAUGGAAAUACAGUAAACUGGGACCCGAAAAAGAGCAGCGGCGAAGUCCCCCAACUCAGAGGAGCUAGAUGUUUCUCUAUAGAAGAGCUUAAGAAAUACACCAACAACUUCUCAGAAGACAAUGAAAUUGGAUCUGGCGGUUAUGGAAAGGUUUACUCUCUUGGCCCUCAGUUCUGUUCAGAGAAACCUAAAUUAGCAUACUCUUGCUCCUAUAACCUUUAUGACAUACCCAGAGCCUUUCGUUGCAUUCCUCAUGAUAACAAGAAAAACCUUCUGUAUAAGUUCCAUUUGUUCACCACCUUGUUUAAAGUGCAGGCUCACUGUAUGACAGUUACUGAGUUUGAAAUCUUCUGCUAGAAUUUCACAUGAACAGAUAAGGCCUUCUUUGACUUGACAAAAGCAGAUGUGAGUUUGUUCAUACAGAAAAAAAGUAAAGCUGAGAGAUGGGCAAAGUCGUACAAGUUGCUACACAUUAGUUUCUACUUAGUUUUCUUCUCUUUCCAAGAGAGUCUUAUAUUUUCACAUGGCUUUAAAUUUUUCAACCGCUUUUAUUAUCUGAACGUUUCCAUUUAAGUUGAUCCUUGAUUCCAUUAUAUUCCUGAACAGUAGAUGAUUCUAAAAUUUUGCCUAGCCUUAAUUUCCUGUUUAUGUCUCUUAAUUCUGAGAACUGGAUUGACACUGUGCCAGCAUUGUGAAAUUUUUGUUUGUCUUCAGAAUCAUCAGGCUGUCCUGAAAACUGGCCAACUUAUAAAUUUUGUUGUUGCUGUGGCAGGUCUACAGGGGUACUCUGCCCACUGGAACUCUAGUUGCCAUAAAACGAGCACAGCAGGGAUCUAUGCAGGGUGGGUUCGAGUUCAAAAACGAGAUUGAGCUUCUAUCAAGAGUCCAUCAUAAGAAUCUUGUCACCCUUGUCGGAUUUUGUUUUGAGCAAAGUGAACAAUUGCUAGUGUACGAGUUCCUUCCAAAUGGUACCCUCAAAGAGAGUCUCUCAGGUAUCUCCUCUCAAGUUUCUUAUGUUGAGAAAGCAUUCAUGUGGAAUUUAGGUUUUUCAAGAAAAAAAUCCUCGCUUAUAUCAUCUGUGUUCACAACUGCAACUUUUGACUUGCAGGAAAGUCAGGAAUAAGGUUGGAUUGGGCAAGAAGACUCAAAGUAUCCAUUGGUGCAGCCCGAGGUCUGGCUUAUCUUCAUGAGCUUGCUAAUCCUCCGAUCAUACAUAGGGACAUAAAAUCAACCAACAUCCUAUUGGAUGAUCACUUGAAUGCAAAAGUUGCUGAUUUUGGUCUCUCCAAGCUCGUGGGAGAAGAUGAAAGGGGUCAUGUCACCACUCAAGUCAAAGGAACAAUGGUCAGUAAUUAGCUUUAGUCUAACGUCAGAUAGUCAAACUUUUCUCAGCAACACACAGACUUUGAAUGAGUUUUUUGAUUCCUAAAAACUUUCGCGGAAAUUUUACAUUUGUUCCCUGAUUCCUAGAACAAUCCAUGUUCUUGAGAACCUGGUAACUGUCUGGAGAAGAAGUGCACUUUAGAACAAUCAUGAUUAUUUCUGCAGUCAUAAGAGAGAAAAUGCUAGUUUGUCUCAGAACAAGAGACAAUUAAUUUAGCUAUGUCGAUGGAAAUAGGGUUUAGUGUUGGUCAUUGUUGUUUGUGUAAUUUUCUUGAUGAGUUUUACAAACCAAUCAUGCUAUAUUCUUCUGUAGGGCUACUUGGAUCCUGAAUACUACAUGACGCAGCAGCUGACUGAGAAGAGCGAUGUCUAUGGCUUCGGAGUAUUGAUGCUGGAACUCCUUACAGCCAGAAGGCCAAUAGAGCGGGGCAGAUAUAUUGUGAGAGAAGUGAGGGUGCUUAUGAAUAAGGACAAAGAUUUGUACAAUCUGCAGGGGAUUCUCGACCCAGCCAUUGGUCUGGGCACGUCUUUGAAGGGUCUCGAGAGGUUUGUGGAGUUAGCAAUGAGAUGUGUGGAAGAAUCAGGAGCAGACAGGCCAACCAUGGGAGAGGUGGUGAAGGAAAUCGAGAACAUCAUGGUUUUCGAGGGUUUGAAUCCAAAGGCCGAAUCCGCAACCGCUUCAGCCAGUUAUGAGGAGGCGAGUAAGGGGUAUUCCACACAUCCCUACAGCAACGAGGACUUCUUAGAGUAUAGUGGGGGCUUCCCACCUUCAAGGAUCGAACCCCAGUAGGCAAAUUACAGUCAUGAUCAGCUUCAGUGUACAUUAAGAAAAUCAAACUAGCAUAUGUAGUCAUGACCAACUCUUUCCAGAUGUUCA